ensembl:lncRNA
AAGAAGCGGGAGCUGGAGAGAGGAGGUCAUUCAUGUUCCCACAGAAGAGCUGAUCUCUAUCACACCGCAGCUUCUCCAUGGACCCAUCAUCUCCACAUAGGCAGAGAGAAGGAGUAGCACGGGGGUGUCAUGCCCCCCACCCUGCCCCGCCAAGAAAGAGUCCGGUCCCACCAACAGGGGUACCUGCCGGCCUGCUGUGCGCUGGCUUCGCAUCCUGGUCCAGGGGCCGAUGAGACCCAGGCUCUGGCCCCGGGAGCCGGGUGGGGGAAAAGGCCAAGCAGACAGACACUCAGGACAUAAGACAGAGAGCUGAGCCCUGGGAGGCCGGCCCAACGUGCUGGGGGGACCAAAGCUGAAAUCCUCCUGGGGAGGGCUGUCCCCGAGGGGCCCUGGGUGCCGGUGGCCUUCAGACAGGGCGUAGGGAAGAAUCAUAGGAAGAUGCAGCCAUGUCGUUCCUCAGGGUCUCCCGUGUGGACCCCACGGGAAAGUGGGUUGACAGCCGAGCCCUGAGCCAGUCUGUGCUGCUUCUGGAAGGAGGUCUCCUCCUGAUCUUGCUUCCCUUUCUGCCUGGCCCAGGAAGCUCGGGGGUAAAUUUGGGACCCAGCGUUGUGAAUUCUUGAAUUAACCCACACAGUGCCUCCCGACCUCCUCCUCUCCGGUCUUUCUGUCUUUGUUCUCUUUGUCCUGAUCCCUCGGCACCCGCGUUUCCAGGGUGCGGUUUCCGCGCAUGCGCUCCUGUGUGCCCCCCUCAAAUCCCGUGGACCAAGGUCGAAGGGAGCCUCGGGUCGUCUGUCUGUCCUGCCCAGCCGAGGCCACCCAUGCCUGCAUGCGGGGACUCGCCGCGUCCCCAGGGGAAAUCUGCUCUCACAUUCCUCCCUGGGGGGCAGGGUGGGUCGGCGCAAGCAGCCCUGGGAACACCCGCCUGGCCCGCAGGGGGUGGACAAAUCGGACCGUCCUGCGCUCGGCGCCCUUCAGCCUCAAAUCAGUGGUCUAGAGCUGCAUCUGUCAUGUGAACAAACCUUCAAUACAGAUGACGGUGAUUGGGGUCUGCCCAGAAGGACCCGAUCCUGCCCACCUUUCCAGUGAUGUCCCCACGGCUGCAGGAAUUACCCACUGGGCCCAGGGACACUGGCCGUGGUCUCAGCCAAUGUGCCGCGCCGCGCCGCGCCAAGCCAGCAGGUCCAGGCGGGGGCACAGGAAAUUCCCUUUGGGGAGCCGCCUGAUCCAUCAACAGGGAUGGGGCUCCUUCCUGGACCACUCACGGGACCCGGGGAUGCCUUGGCUGGGUGACGUGAGGGAGGCAUUUGCUGGGGGCACAAAAUCUGAGAGGGUACCCUACUUCCCACCCAUUGGGAUGGCUGUUAUCAAAAAAGGAAAACCCAGAAAAUAACAAUAGCUUUAUCUUCAGGCUAAAGAGCGUUGUUCCUUGCAAAGCUGUGUCUCUGUCUGGGCAGAGUGGGUCCUCCAUGGCUGGCCUCCCCAAGGGUGACGUCAAAUCUGUGGCUCAUCGUGUUCUUCUUAAACGAGUGUUGUCCUAGGGACAAGAUUCGCCCGUGGUCGUUAGGGGCAGUGGACAGGAUACGUGGGAACAGUGCGUGCAAGUUGUACAUCUGUUCUGCCUUCGGGUCCUGCCUCCCAGCUAUCAUCAUAUCAGCUCAGUGGUGAGUGGACCACUCUGGGGAAUCCUUGCCCUGCACUCGGCCCCUCCUGGACCUGCCCUGGAGUCCUCAUGGUGGGAGCACCUGAGAGGCGGGACCACCCAUCACGAGCGCCUGCAGGUGUGGCAGGAACCACAUGGGAGUGCAAGUGGACACGCGCGAUUCACGUUCUGCUCCUCAGCAAAGCGGGCUGUCACCAGGUGUAAUACAUCCAUACCUUGCUGACAUUUUCUGUUCUCUGCAGAGAUUUUACCAAGGUUUACCUAAAC